rnacentral:rRNA from 1 species
CCUACGGGUGGCAGCAGUGGGGAAUAUUGGUCAAUGGGCGGGAGCCUGAACCAGCCAAGUCGCGUGAGGGAAGAAGGUACUGAGUAUUGUAAACUUCUUUUGCCAGGGGACAAAGGCGGCCACGGGUGGCCGUAAGAGGGUACCUUGAGAAAAGCAUCGGCAAACUCCGUGCCGGCAGCCGCGGUAAUACGGAGGAUGCGAGCGUUAUCCGAAUUUAUGGGGUUAAAGGGGUGCGCAGGCGGCGUGUCAGGUCAGCGGGAAAAUGUCGGGGCGAAACCCCGACCGGCCGUUGAACCUGGCGUGCUGGAGUUGGAGAGAGGUGAGCGGAAUUCGAGGUGUAGGGGUGAAAUGCGUAGAUAUCACGAAGAACCCCGAUUGCGAAGGCAGCAUACCGGCUCCACACUGACGCUGAGGCACGAAAGCGUGGGUAUCGAACAGGAUUAGAUACCCCGGUAGUC